UACGAAGGGGGCUAGCGUUGUUCGGAAUUACUGGGCGUAAAGCGCGCGUAGGCGGGUUUGCAAGUCGAUUGUGAAAGCCCUGGGCUCAACCUGGGAAUUGCAGUCGAAACUGUAAAUCUUGAGUGCCUGAGAGGAUGGCGGAAUUCCCGGUGUAGUAGUGAAAUACGUAGAUAUCGGGAAGAACACCUGAGGCGAAGGCGGCUAUCUGGCGGUGCACUGACGCUGAGGCGCGAAAGCGUGGGGAGCAAACAGG
rnacentral:rRNA from 1 species